rnacentral:rRNA from 1 species
AGUACUAAUUGGAGGACCGAACCCAAUACUGUUGCAAAAGUAUGGGAUGAGCUGUGGAUCGGAGUGAAAGGCUAAUCAAGCACGGAGAUAGCUGGUUCUCCCCGAAAACUAUUUAGGUAGUGCCUCGUGUAUAACUCAUUGGGGUAAAGCACUGUUUCGACAAUGGGGGUUUUACGACCUUACUGACUCGAUGCAAACUCAGAAUACGAUGAAGUUCGAUCACGGGAGACACACUGCGGGUGCUAAGGUCCGCAGUGGAAAGGGAAACAGCCCAGACCGCCAACUAAGGUCCCAAAGUCAUAGCUAAGUGGGAAACGAAGUGGGAAGGCCCAGACAGCCAGGAGGUUGGCUUAGAAGCAGCCACCCUUUAAAGAAAGCGUAAUAGCUCACUGGUCGAGUCGGCCUGCACGUAAGAUUUAACGGGGCUAAGCUAUGCACUGAAGUUGCGGAAUAUAUUUAGUAUAUUGGUAGGGGAGCGUUCUGUAAGCCGAUGAAGGUGAAUUGAGAAGUUUGCUGGAGGUAUCAGAAGUGCGAAUGCUGACAUGAGUAACGUAAAAUAAGUGAGAUUCUUAUUGGCCGAAAACCCAAGGGUUCCUACGCAAUGUUAAUCAACGUAGGGUAAGCCGGCCCCUAAGGCGUAGCUGAAGAGUGAAGUCGAUGGGAAACAGGUUAAUAUUCCUGUGCUGCUUAUAUGAACGAAGGAGGGACGGAGAAGGUUAGGUAGGCCUGGCGAAUGGUUGUCCAGGUGAAAGUAUGUAGGUAGGAAUGCUAGGCAAAUCCGGUGUUCUGUUGAUCUGAGAUACGAGACGAAGUUAAACUUGUUUGACGAAGCUAUUGAUACCAUGCUUCCAGGAAAAGCUUCUAAGUAUAUUGUAUAAGUGACCGUACUGUAAACCGACACUGGUGGGUAGGUAGAGAAUACUAAGGCUAUGAGAUAACUCUGGUGAAGGAACUAGGCAAAAUGACACCGUAACUUUGGAAGAAGGUGUGCCCUUGAUGGUGAUGAGACUUGCUCUUUGAGCUGUUGGGGGUUGCAGAUACCAGGUGGCUGCGACUGUUUAUCAAAAACACAGCACUCUGCGAAAUCGUAAGAUGAAGUAUAGGGUGUGACGCCUGCCCGGUGCUGGAAGGUUAAUUGAAGGGGUUAGCGCAAGCGAAGCUCUGGAUCGAAGCCCCAGUAAACGGCGGCCGUAACUAUAACGGUCCUAAGGUAGCGAAAUUCCUUGUCGGGUAAGUUCCGACCUGCACGAAUGGCGUAACGAUGGCCACACUGUCUCCACCAGAGACUCAGUGAAAUUGAAAUCGCUGUGAAGAUGCAGUGUACCCGCGGUUAGACGGAAAGACCCCGUGAACCUUUACUAUAGCUUUGCACUGGACUUUGAAUAUUUAUGUGUAGGAUAGGUGGGAGACCAUGAAGCAGCUACGCCAGUAGUUGUGGAGUCGUCCUUGAAAUACCACCCUUGAAUAUUUGAAGUUCUAACUCAGGAGAGAUUCGAGGACAGUGUAUGGUGGGUAGUUUGACUGGGGCGGUCUCCUCCUAAAGAGUAACGGAGGAGUACGAAGGUGCACUCGGUACGGUCGGAAAUCGUGCCAAGAGUAUAAAGGCAAAAGUGCGCUUGACUGCGAGAGUGACGGCUCGAGCAGGUACGAAAGUAGGUCUUAGUGAUCCGGUGGUCCCGAAUGGAAGGGUCAUCGCUCAACGGAUAAAAGGUACUCCGGGGAUAACAGGCUAAUUCCUCCCAAGAGUUCAUAUCGACGGAGGAGUUUGGCACCUCGAUGUCGGCU